rnacentral:rRNA from 1 species
CCUACGGGAGGCAGCAGUGGGGAUAUUUCACAAUGGGGGAAACCCUGAUGCAGCGACGCCGCGUGAGUGAAGAAGUAUUUCGGUAUGUAAAGCUCUAUCAGCAGGGAAGAAAAUGACGGUACCUGAUUAAGAAGCCCCGGCUAACUACGUGCCAGCAGCCGCGGUAAUACGUAGGGGGCAAGCGUUAUCCGGAUUUACUGGGUGUAAAGGGAGCGUAGACGGCAGGAAAAGUCUGGAGUGAAAUGCCGGGGCUUAACCCCGGAACUGCUUUGGAACGUGUGCAGCUAGAUGGAAGGAGAGGGAAGUGGAAUUCCGGGUGGAGCGGGGAAAGGGGUAGAUAUUAGGAGGAACACCAGUGGCGAAGGCGGCUUAUGGGACUGUAACUGACGUUGAGGCUCGAAAGCGGGGGGAGCAACAGGAUUAGAUACCCCUGUAGUC